rnacentral:lncRNA from 1 species
UCAAUCAUAACUUUAAUCACAUUCACAAUUUAUAACUCACCUGGGCUUACCUGAGCGUCCACAACACCACAAGUAUAUAUAUUAUGCAUCAUAUACUAAUUCACAUAUGAAAUAUAAAUUUAUAUGCAUGGCAUUCAAGGCAUACUUUCAUUUAAAUGCAUUUUCUGGGAAAAUAUCAAGUAUAUAGAUAUAUACUGAAAACCAAACGCCCACUCACUGAUAUGUCGAAAGGUCGUAGCCCCCGAGUCGCCCUUGACUGCGCUCGUCCUAGGGAUAAGCCUCCCCUACAUGCGAAAUAACUAUAAAAACGUUAUUUAAAGCACAUAGACAAAGCUAGCCAAUAACUUCUCAUACAAUGCUCAAAUGGGAUGUUUGAAUAUACCAACGUGAUCUACACAACUCCACGAACAUCCCCAUAUUUUUAAAAUAAUUUUCUGACGAGCCACGUGCCACCACGCAUCGGCCAAGGCACGGCUAGACGCGCCGCCCACGUGCGGGCACGUGCCUAGCACACUGACGGUGGCAGUAACGGUGUUAGGGAAUAUUCCGUUAAAAUUUGGAAUAUCCCAUCUAAAAACUAACGGCGUUACCUUACGCCGUUAGCAUAUUCAGUCAAAACUGACGGAAUAUGCUCUUUCUUCCCCGACGAGUCACCGGACAUCGGCGACUUUUUACUGGUAUCUGGAAAAGCUUCUAACCCUAAUUUCUACCUCAUUUUAACACCAAACUUUAUGAAAUUUGAACCAUUUUGGAGAUCUCAUCAAGACGAACAAAAUCAUACCUUUUACGAGCCUUAAAACCCAUAGGAUUCUCCAAAAAACUCCUCGAUAUUCCAGCCAAACCGCAACUGGUCGAAUCUCACUAUUUUGACGUCCAAAAUCUUCUAACGAACUACUUCUAGCCUCGUGAGGACCUCCUUAAGCUACCUAUAAACUUGAAAUCCCAAAAAACAUGAGAUUUUACGUUUGCAUGAAUAGUACCAUAAUCGGAGAUCGAGAAAAACUAGGGUUUUCGUAGGAGUUCUUACCUAAAAAUGGUACCAUUCGACUUGUAUGAGCCUCAAGAACAGGAUGGCAUCCUUUAAACCCUCGAUCUACAAGCUUCCUUCUUGAUUUGAUGUUGGUCCGUACGUGAGGGAAUGAGAGAGAGUGAGUCUGAGGGUGAGAGAGCACGUGAGAGAAGUGAGAGCAAGAGUUUGUGUGUGUGUGAAUGGUCCAUGUGGUCACGAACCAAAACCACAAAACAAAUUUCCAAAUUUUGUUCCAAAAAUUAAGGAAAAUGCAAGUUUGGACUACCAUUUACAUGCAUAACACACCACAACGCUCACAUCCCAGGGUAAAAUAGUCAAUUCACGUCAUCAAUAAUUUAUUUCAGGACGGGUUGUGACAAUCUACCCACCUUAUAAAAUGUCAUCCUCGAAAUUACACACAACCAAUACAUCCACUAAUAAUCAUAAAAUAGACAUGGAUACACUUUCACCAAAUGCAUUGUCUUAUUCCUUAGCUCCUUAUCUUUCCAAUCCAAAAUAGUCACUGGUUCCUUGUCAUAAAUCAAAUCCAAAUUAAUUUCCAAAGGUUGGGGAGGAAUUACAUGUGAAGAUUCUAAGACAUAAUGUCGAAGCAUCGAAACAUGAAAUACAUCAUGCACUUUGGACAACUCUGGAGGCAACUCAAGCCUGUAAGCAACCUCACCGACUCGCUCGGUGAUCAUAUAUGGUCCAAUGUACCUAGGACUCAACUUACCUUUCUUUCCAAAUUGUACCACACCUUUCCAAGGUGAUAGCUUCAAAAAUACCCAAGCACCUACAUUAUACCUCUGGCCAGUGGCAUACUUAUCUGCUAAGCUCUUUUGUCGAUCCUGAGCCACUUUCAGGUUAGACUUAAUUACCUAAACAUUUUGAGUAGUCUCCUCCACAAUCUUAGGGCCCACUAAAACUUUUUCGCCAACCUCUGACCAACAUAGAGGUGUACGACAAGAUUUCCCCGUAAAGUGUUUCAAAUGGUGCCAUACCAAUGCUCGAAUGAUAAUUGUUGUUGUAGGCGAACUCCAUUAAAUCCAAACAAUCAUGCUAACCAUCGCCAAACUGAAGUACUGAAGAUCUCAGUAUAUCUUCUAAUGUCUGAAUAGUCCUCUCAGAUUGUCCGUCUGUCUGAGGGUGAUAUGUCGUACUAUAAAGUAAUCUCGUACCAAGAGCUUCCUGAAAUGCAACCCAGAACUUGAAAGUAAAUCUAGGGUAUUGAUCCGAGAUAAUAUUAACUGGAACACCAUGGUACUUCACAAUCUGUGAAAUGAAUAGCUUAGCUAAUCGGCUUAACAAAUACUUCUCCCUCACUGGAAUAAAAUGUGCUGACUUCGUAAGCCAAUCAACUACUACCCAAAUGCCGUCAUAACCAUUCUAUGUGCGAGGAAGCUUGUACAUAAAGUCCAUAGUAAUAUUUUCCCACUUCCACUGUGGAAUGGGAAGCAGCUGCAUCAACCCAAACGGUUUAUUCCUUUCAGCUUUAACCUGUUGGCAAAUGACACACCUACUCACGUAUUUGGCAAUUUCCCUUUUCAUACCCAGCCAAUAAUAAAAUGGUCGAAUGGCAUGAUACAUCUUGGUGCCUCCUGGAUGCAUUGCAUAUGCUGAAAUAUGUGCUUCAUCAAGGAUUUCCUUCUUUAACUCUGCAUUAUUCGGGACAUACAUUCUGCUCUCCUGCAUAAGCAUACCAUCAGUUUCUCGAAUCCUGAAAUCUUUCUUCUUCCCUUGAUUCCUGGCUUGAAUUAUUUCCUGGGUUUCUUCAUCAUUCAUCUGGGCCUCGAGCACAUGAUCAAUUCAAAUUAGCCUAAAUUAAAAAUUAGCAAGCAAGGCUUCCUCUCGAUCUUCCAUUCCGAACUCCACUCCAGUGGACCUCAAAUCCACUAGAAGAGGAACGUGACAAUCAUAGAUGGCAUUAAGUCUAAGUGCAUCCGCCACUGCAUUUACACGACUAGAGAGAUACUCAAUCGUGCAAUCAUAAUCACUAAGCAACUCAAUCCACCUUCGUUGCCGAAGAUUAAGAUCUCUCUGAGUAAAAAGAUAUUGAAGACUCUUAUGAUCUGCGAAGAUUUUACAUUUCUCACCAUAAAGAUAAUGUAUCCAAAUCUUCAAAACAAAUAUGAUAGCCGCUAACUCUAAAUCAUGAGUAGGGUAAUUCUUCUCAUGAGGUUUCAACUAUCUCGAAACAUAAGCAAUCACCCUACCAUGUUGCAUCAAUACACAACCCAGACCAUUCAAAGAAGCAUCAUUGUAGACCUCAAAAUUACCACUAUCAUCUGGGAGUGGUAGAACAGGUGCAUGAGUGAGAUAAUACUUCAACUACUGAAAACUUUGCUCACAAUUAUCAUCCCACUCAAACUUAACAUCUUUCUGGGUCAACCUCGUCAAUGGCAAAACAAUCACUGAAAAAUCCUUAACGAACCAUCUAUAAUAGCCAGCUAGGCCAAGAAAACUUUGUACCUCGGUGACGGUUUGCGAUUGCUCCCACUUGAAUGCCUUGAGGAGAAAUGACAGGUCCUAAAAAUGCCACUUGAUUCAACCAAAAUUGACAUUUGCUAAACUUAGCAUAUAACUAGUGUUCCUUCAAACUUUUCAACACCAAUUUAAGAUGUCUAGCAUGCUCAACCUUAGACUUAGAGUAUACCAGAAUAUCGUCAAUGAAGACAAUAACAAACUUGUCCAAAUAUGGCUAGAAUACUCGAUUCAUCAAAUCCAUAAAAGCUGCUAGUGCAUUAGUUAACCCGAAUGGCAUCACAAGGAACUCAUAAUGACUAUAUCGAGUCCUGAAUGCCGUCUUAGGGACAUCUUCGCUUCUAAUCUUCAACUGGUAGUAACCCGACCUCAAGUCAAUCUUAGAAAAUACGCUGGCACCUCAGAGUUGUUCAAAUAAAUGAUCUAUACGAGGCAAUGGAUAAUGGUUUUUAAUCGUUACCCUAUUUAAUUGCUUAUAAUCAAUGCAUAACUUCAAGGUUCCGUCUUUCUUCCUCACAAAUAAAACUAGAGCUCCCCAAGGUGAAGUACUAGGCUGAAUAAAACCUUUAUCCACUAAUUCUUGCACCUGAACUUUCAAUUCCCUUAAUUUAGCAUGAGCCAUUCUAUAAGGAGUCAAAGAUAUAGGAUUUGUACCAGGAAGCAGAUUAAAAACAAACUCCACAUCUUUGUCUGGCAGUAAUCCAGGCAAAUCCUCAAGGAAUACAUUCAGAAAAUACUUAACCACACGCACAUCCUCCACACUACUAGGAGCAUCAUCGUUCAGCAUUACAUGAGCCAAAUAUCCCUGACAACCUUUCGACAACAAUCUUUUGGCUUUCAUGGCAGAAAUAACACCAUGCCUCACCCCACUAGGCUCUCAUACAAAUGUAACUUCAGGUAAUCCAGAACGAUGAAAUGUGACUGUCUUUCCAUAACAAUCUAUCUUAGCACGAUUAUAGUGCAGCCAAUCAGUGCCCAAAAUCACAUCAAAAUCCAUAAUAUCCAACAGCAUAAGAUUAGCUGGCAUAACAACAUCAUCCACCAUCACUGGACAUCCUUGAUAUACCCGAUCUACAAAACAUCUAUCCCCUCUAGGCAUAGAAAACUCUAAAUCAUAUCCUAGGGGUGUAGGAUGAGGUUGAAUCAUUUAAGCAAAUGUAUGAGAAACAACAGAAUGCGUAGCACCACAAUCAAUAAAUACUCUAGCAGAAUGACCAAGAAUAUUUAACGUACCCAUGAUUAAAUCAGGAUUGUUCUGAGCAUCUUGCAAUGUCAUGUUAUGGAUACGUCCCUGAUUCUGCUAUUGUUAGCAUGAACACAACGUCCUUGCCUUGGCUGACCAGACUGCCUCGAAGAUCCUGCACUGCUAGCAGCAAUCUCUACCUGUUCAGGCUGUCCCCCUUGGUACCACUAGGAUCCUUCGGUUGAAUGUGGCUGAUAAGGCAUAUAACCUCCCUAAUACUGAGGGUAACCACCUUGAUAAUGAGGCUCCUGAGAGUACUGAUACUAUCUUGAAGUAUAAGGAGCGGCGUCGCCCUGAUAAUGAUAAGCACCUCCUCGUCCAGUUUGGGCAUAACCACUAGAUCCUGAAGCUUGCUGGGUCGGCGCAAGUGGUGGUAAGGAAGGUUGCUGGGGUCUUUAUUGAGUCUGAGGGCAAUGAGCAGCCUUAUGCCCCAUCUGUCCACAAGUAUAGCAUGCACUGCUGCCUCUCUUACACUCUCCAUAAUGCCUAUUAUUACACGUGCGGCAUAAAAGAGCACCUGAACCACCAAAAUCCCUUUGCCUCUGAAAUCUCUAGCCUCUAGAAAAUCUGCGAUCUCUCAUUUGCAUAUUAGAGCUCAAACCUCCACUAGAAGAGCUAGAACUGCCACCGUUUCUCUUAAAACUCUAAGUCUUACGAGGUCCCUGAAAUGAUUGACCUUUACCUUUAUCAUCUCGCUUUUGGUUCACAUUCUUUUGUUCUUCAUCUUCACUUUCACUGGGAAUGUUCUCUGAGUCCUCAAUCCUCAGUAAAACCUCCUAAAACUCCUGGUAAGUGACACAGGGAGUCGAUGUCGCUAUAAAACGUCAUUUCUUCUUAGUACCCAACCUAAAGCGACGGAGCAUCUUGACCGGAUUAGCAGCAACUUCCGGAUCAUAUCGAUAUAAAUCAGUGAACUUCCUGUAAUACUCAUUUGCUGACAUCUUUCCUUGGUUCAAAUUGGUAAACUCUUGUUUCUUGUGAUCAAUGUACUCAAAAGGAAUGAACAUUUUCUGAAACAACUGUUUAAACAUUUCUCAAUCCGCUACAACCUCUAGUGUCAUUUGAUAUGACUCCUGUCUACACCAAGAUGCAGGCUCCGGACCCAAAAACCAGGUAGUCGUCUCGACACACCUAUCAGAAGGAAGAUUCCCUUGACUCUACAUCACAAGGAAAAUCUUCUCGACAUAAUUAAGCCAUUUCUCCGCUCCCUAAUGUCCUUCAUUUCCUAUGAAGUGAUUCAGCUUCAGAUUAUACACAUUCUCAAGAUGUGUCAUUUGAGGAGGACAGAGUGAAGACUGAAUGGCAUUAGCUAUAGUUUCCCCUAAUUGAGCAAUAUCAGGGAAACUAGGCUCAACUGAGUGACGGGGCUCUCUAUAAGGCGGCAUAGUUUUGACAGAAGACAUCACAAGGAUUAGAAUAUUCAUGAACUAUACAGGACUACUAAACCUAGGUUCUAAUACCAAAUUGACACACCCCGACCAGGAACGAGGCAUGCUGGUCGUCACGUGAGGGCGACGUAACCAUGUGCACAGUACGGAAGCAAUAAGAAUAAGAAUAUACGAAUAAAUAAAAAUUAAAAGCUACUAAAGUGCACUAAUAAACAGGAAGUGUUAGGAGUGAGAUACAAAAGUAAGUACUCCUAAUCAGAGCAUAGAAAGUCUAAGUGUAGUCUCGUAGGACAAGUACUAAUUAUACAGUAUCAGAAGAUGUCCUGCAAUUAUUUUAUUCUGUCAGACCGCCAAAAUCCUCAAAGCCACCAACAGCAAGCUAACCUAAAACCUAGAGGGGCACAAAACAGAAAACGUGAGUGGGCAAAAGCAAAUGUUUUACAAAACCAUUUCUUCAUUAAAAUGCGCUAACCCUUCGCCGUAAAACAUGUAUAGAUUUUCCCAGAAAUAGAAUAUAACAUAUACAUCAACAUAUAUAUAUUUAUCUCAAUUCAAAUCAUGCUUCCACAUUACCAUAUUCAUAAGUAUGCCAUGCCAAAACAUAAAAUAUAAUAAAUAAUUCAGGUGAGAAUAAUUUCAUGGAAGAUAACAUAUUAGUCGGAACCCCUGCAUAAGUCUGUACGGUUGAAUUCAUAGCUCAUUAGUCAAUCUAGCCGGAGUCACUAUCAUGACCUAUAUGGCACUACACUGCACAUAAGUCGGAACCACUAAAAAGGGUCUGUACGACAAGAUUGGGUGUAAUAUCAUUAUGCUCAAUACUACUCUUUCAUGAUAGCUGAGUGAUAAUUCGCUAGUCACCUACGAGUCGGAAUCACCUAUGAUGGUCUGUACGACAGGACUGUGCACCUAAAUUGGAUCCAAUGUGAGCAUAUAGUACAUGAGGUGACAUUAUAAACAGGCCUGCGCCAUAUCUCUGGCUAAAUCACAAUCACCCUCGGUGCAGGUUUAUAAGCUUAACUUUUCUCAGUAACAACUUUAAUCACAUUCACAAUUUAUAACUCAUCUGUGCUUACCUGAGCGUCCACAGCACCACAAUUAUAUAUAUUAUGCAUCAUAUACUAAUUCACAUACGAAAUAUAAUUUUAUAUGCAUGGCAUUCAAGGCAUACUUUCAUUUAAACGCAUUUUUUGAGAAAAUAUCAAGUAUAUAAAUAUAUACUGAGAAAAUAUCGAGUCGCCCUUGACUGCGCUCGGGAGAAGCCUCCCUUAUAUGCGAAAUAACUUUAAAAAUGUCAUUUAAAGAACAUAGACAAAAUUAGCUAAUAACUUCUCAUACAAUGCUCAAAUGGGGUGUUUGAAUAAACCAACAUGACCUACACAACUCCAUGAACAUCCCCAGAUUU